rnacentral:rRNA from 1 species
CCGUAUUGUACGCGGAGGGACAUUACAGAGUUAUACAACUCCCAUACCAUCUGUGAACCUACCCAGUUAUGCCUCGGCGUAAGCUCGGUUGGAGGCACCUGCAGCUACCCUGUAGUUGCACCCGCAGCUACCCUGUAGUUGUUGGUGCAGCUACCCUGUAGUUGCGGACUGCCAACUCCAGCCGCGGCCCGCCGGCGGUACACUAAACUCUGUUUUAUUUUACAUUCUGAGCGUCUUAUUUUAAUAAGUUAAAACUUUCAACAACGGAUCUCUUGGUUCUGGCAUCGAUGAAGAACGCAGCGAAAUGCGAUAAGUAAUGUGAAUUGCAGAAUUCAGUGAAUCAUCGAAUCUUUGAACGCACAUUGCGCCCAUCAGUAUUCUGGUGGGCAUGCCUGUUCGAGCGUCAUUUCAACCCUUAAGCCUAGCUUAGUGUUGGGAAUCUGCUGUACUGCAGUUCCUUAAAGACAGUGGCGGAGCGGCGGUAGUCCUCUGAGCGUAGUAAUUUAUUUCUCGCUUUUGUCAGGCUCUGUCCUCCCGCCAUAAAACCCCCAAUUUUUUAGUGGUUGACCUCGGAUCAGGUAGGAAUACCCGCUGAACUUAAGCAUUAA